AUGGACUUGGAUCCAUGAAUGAGUGAGUGAGUUUAUUUCAAGUCACGUCGGCAUUAUUUGAGCCAUAUUGUGACUUGAUCACGUUAUAC